GGUUGUGGCUCAGUAGUAGAGCACUCGCCUAGCACAUGUGAGGCCCUGGGUUCAAUCCUCAGCACCAAUCA
rnacentral:tRNA from 1 species